rnacentral:rRNA from 1 species
GAUGAACGCUGGCGGCGUGCCUAAUACAUGCAAGUCGAGCGAACAGACGAGGAGCUUGCUCCUCUGACGUUAGCGGCGGACGGGUGAGUAACACGUGGAUAACCUACCUAUAAGACUGGGAUAACUUCGGGACACCGGAGCUAAUACCGGAUAAUAUAUUGAACCGCAUGGUUCAAUAGUGAGAGACGGCUUUGCUGUCACUUCUAGAUGGAUCCGGGCCGCAUUAGAUGGUUGGUAAGGUAACGGCUUACCAAGGCAACGAUGCGUAGCCGACCUGAGAGAGUGAUCGCCGACAUGAGAACGGGGACGGCGUCCAGAGGACUAAGGGAGGGACCAGACGGGUAUGGUAGGCAGCGGGGGAGAGCAUGGCGGAAUAGGGGGACGUGAGAGAUGAAGGCGCUGCGAGCGGGAUGACGGGUUAUUAGGUAAGAACAAAUGUGGACGGAGCUAUGGACGUCUUGACGGUAACGAAUCAGAAAGCAACGGCUAACUACGUG